CAUACUUAUGGCCUUUACAUGAAUACGUCUUGAUCAGACAUUCAGAGAUUAGUCUUAGGUUUGCACGUAAGUCACUGAAAACAGUAAAACAGGCUGCUUAGAUUUCUAGCAGUAUGUGUGCUCUUAUCCCCAGCUGUUAGCACGUUAGUAAUACUUUUGGGGAGGAGUUGUCUGUCCUGGUCAGUUUUCACAGAGGCGGUUGUAAGAGGAUGUGGUUAUUUUCUCCAUGUCUGUAGUUGCUUUGCGGCAUCUCCAUUUCACGGGCAACACUCACUGCCUGCAGCUGAGAUUCCAGAACGCCCUGUGUCCACAGUGAUUAGCCUCGUCUUUCAGCGAGCAUAAAAUAGGUGCAUUGUCCUUUUCUUUUCUUGAGGCAGGGUCUCACUCUGUUGACCAGGCUGGCUGGGAAGCAAGCUACGAGGUGCUCAAAGGCCCUCUAUGUCUGCAGGUAGCCCCGUCCCACACAGGCGAGGAUCGUUGGGCCUCCUUAGUAGCCAAAGGAACUGAGGUCCAGAGCAGGGAAUGUGUUGCCCAGUGUCAGCAUGGUCUGCUCUGGGGUCA
rnacentral:lncRNA from 10 species